rnacentral:miRNA from 1 species
UUGCACCUUAGGAAAUUUGAUC